UACUCAUGUUUGCCAGAUGCAAACAUGUAGACUGAAGGAAGGAAGAGGACUCAUUCCUGUUCUCAAGUGUGGGCACUCCCUGGUUGCUAAGGGACAGAAGUCAAGUAAAGGAGGGUUAUAAGCAAACUACAAAAGAGGACUGAGUUGUGACAGGACGGGAAGACUGGGGAAUUUUUCAGUCACAAGCGUCAGGAAAGGUGGGUGGUACUGAAACAAGAAGGAACCGAAGACAAACUUCGGGUGGGGCUAUCCCCUGGGGCUCUGAGCUUGCCGGAUGUCUCCCCUAGGCAUACCUAGAAUACAAGACCUAGGCACACAUACGAUCCCUCUUUGUGUGUGUGUGCAGCCUGAGACCUGGGAGAUAAGCAAUAUGUUUCUCCAUAGAGGAGAAGAGUUUUGCAGUUAGGUGACUUACUCAUCUAACCCCUCAAGGGGUCCCCAGGCCACAAAGAGCCUGAAUUCUGGAUAGCAGCAGGUGCUAGGGACAAUAGUCUGGGCCUGGACACGUGGUAAAGGAAUUUGAAUGGCAGUCUUAGCCCAGCCCCUGCUCACUCCGUGGGUUGUUAGUGAACUAGAGCAGAAGCCACAAGGUCCCCAGAGGCUCACUAUACCAUGUCAUCAAGAGACCCAGGAGUGUUAAUGGAGCCUUUCACUGGACCUCAUGUUCUAGGGUAGCCUGGACUACACAAAACUCUCCCUCAAAAUAAAAAGGAAAGAAAAUGAUAAAUCAUUUGCCCAUU
rnacentral:lncRNA from 1 species